rnacentral:rRNA from 1 species
UACGUAGGCAGCAAGCGUUGUUCGGAGUUACUGGGCGUAAAGGGUGUGUAGGCGGUUCUUUAAGUUUGCUGUGAAAUCUCCCGGCUUAACCGGGAGGGUGCGGUGAAUACUGAGGGACUAGAGUACGGGAGAGGAAAGUGGAAUUCCUGGUGUAGCGGUGAAAUGCGCAGAUAUCAGGAAGAACACCCGUGGCGAAAGCGGCUCUCUGGAACGGUACUGACGCUGAGACGCGAAAGCGUGGGGAGCGAACAGG